CCACGCCGUAAACGUUGGGCACUAGGUGUGGGGCUCGAUCGACGGGCUCCGUGCCGUAGCUAACGCAUUAAGUGCCCCGCCUGGGAAGUACGGCCGCAAGGCUAAAACUCAAAGGAAUUGACGGGGGCCCGCACAAGCGGCGGAGCAUGUUGCUUAAUUCGAUGCAACGCGAAGAACCUUACCAAGGCUUGACAUGUAGGGAAAAGCCGUAGAGAUACGGUGUCCUUCGGGGCCCUACACAGGUGGUGCAUGGCUGU
rnacentral:rRNA from 1 species